rnacentral:rRNA from 1 species
CGGUGAAUACGUUCCCGGACCUUGCACACACCGUCCGUCAAGCCAUGGAAGCUGGGUGUACCUAAAGUCGGUAACCGUAAGGAGCCGCCUAGGGUAAAACUAGUGACUGGGGCU